rnacentral:rRNA from 1 species
CUCCUACGGGAGGCUGCAGUGGGGAAUUUUGGACAAUGGACGCAAGUCUGAUCCAGCCAUGCCGCGUGCGGGAAGAAGGCCUUCGGGUUGUAAACCGCUUUUGUCAGGGAAGAAAAGGUUCCUUCUAAUACAGGGGACUCAUGACGGUACCUGAAGAAUAAGCACCGGCUUAACUACGUGCCAGCAGCCGCGGUAAUACGUAGGGUGCAAGCGUUAAUCGGAAUUACUGGGCGUAAAGCGUGCGCAGGCGGUUAUGCAAGACAGAGGUGAAAUCCCCGGGCUCAACCUGGGAACUGCCUUUGUGACUGCAUGACUAGAGUACGGUAGAGGGGGAUGGAAUUCCGCGUGUAGCAGUGAAAUGCGUAGAUAUGCGGAGGAACACCGAUGGCGAAGGCAAUCCCCUGGACCUGUACUGACGCUCAUGCACGAAAGCGUGGGGAGCAAACAGGAUUAGAUACCCUGGUAGUCCACGCCCUAAACGAUGUCAACUGGUUGUUGGGAGGGUUUCUUCUCAGUAACGUAGCUAACGCGUGAAGUGACCGC